rnacentral:rRNA from 1 species
UCCGUAGGCGGGCAAUUAAGUCAGAGGUGAAAUCCCACAGCUCAACUGUGGAACUGCCUUUGAUACUGGUUGUCUUGAGUUACAGUGAAGUAGAUAGAAUAUGUAGUGUAGCGGUGAAAUGCAUUGAUAUUACAUAGAAUACCGAUUGCGAAGGCAGUCUACUAACUGUAUACUGACGCUAAUGGACGAAAGCGUGGGGAGCGAACAGGAUUAGAUACCCUGGUAGUCC